ensembl:lncRNA
GGGCCCUGCACGUUCAUGACGCAUAGUCACUUGACUGCGCCAGGAGAGGAGUUGGGACAUCAGCAUGAGCCACUGGGGUCAGAGUUUUAUGGAAGUAUGUGAUGACUCACUAGCUGACCACUAAGCUGACUGUCCAGAGAUUUCAGUUGCCACAAACAAUGAAGAAUGCAGACUUUACAGAAUCAGUUGAGAAAAGCAGACAGACCCUGUGGAUGGAGAAGACCCUGAUUUCCAUCACAUUAUAUUAGAAAUAGCAGUUUUCAACAACAAAAAGUUCUGAGGCAUCUAAAGAAACAAGAUUGCACCCAUGUACAGGGUCUUCCUUGAGGAAGCUCAGACUUUAAACGUACUAGACAAAGACUUUAAAUAAUUUAUUUUAAACAUGCUCAAAAAACUAAAGUAUAGGAAUUAUAUGUCACCGAAUGGAGGCUAUCAAUAAAGAGGAAUAAUAAAAAUGAAUCAAAUGGGGAGGAUUUGUGGAAGACGGUGGAAUAGGAAGCACCAGGAAUCUGUCUCCAUCUAAACAGUGGCAAAUCCAUUUCAUGAUUUUGGAACUCUGGAGACUUGAAGGUUUGCAACUUCCAGGGAAAGUGUUAAACAGUAAAUGUAGCUAACUUUUGUAAAAUCCAGCUCUUAGUAAAGUUGCCGAUACCUGACCCACACUCCCAACCCUGUGGCAGGCAGCUCUGCACACAUUCCUGGAGCGAUCUCCAGAGUUCGUGGGAGCCAGGAUAGGCAAGAAGUCCCCUCCAGACAGCAGAGAUCCGUGCUCUGAUAACAAGUAGCUACUUCUUGCUGCAGAGGUACAAAGAGGCUGGUAACCAUUGUUACUUCACCCUACCGCCCCCAUCCCCACCAUUGUUGCAAGCUCCACACUGUUCCUGCUGAAAAGGGGGUAGUUCCUAACUCACUCUAUGAGGCCAGCAUUACCCUAGGACAAAAACCAGACAAAGAUAUUACAAGAAAAGUAAACCAAAGUCCAAGAUCUCAUGAACACAGGUGCAAAAAUCCUCAACAAAAUAUUAGCA